CCUUCCCUUUCCGACGACUCCGCUCGAGGCCGCUUAUAUGUCGACCGGAGAGCGAGUCCUUAUAUGCGCUUGCCGAUGGUUCGAUGCGAUGACUUACUCCAUCGGAACUUAUAGCUUCACUGGAAUCCAUAUGAGCCCUUCUGUUUUCGUUAUUCCCAUUUAACUACUACUCUUCGUAGGUUUUCCCACCAAACGAGUGUGUAUAUAUAUACACACACACGUGUGUGUGUGUGUGUGUGUGUGUGUGUGAAAUUAUAAUUUUAAUUGGACGAAUUCACCCAAAAAUAACCCAUAAUAAUAAAAAACAUCAGUUAACCAUACAAUUAAAAAGGACAAUUAAGAUUUAUUUUUUUUUGAACUUUAAGUUAUAUUUUUAUUUCUUUGAAAUCUGUGUUCUCUGCGGGCACGAAAAGGAAACGUGCGAGAGAGAAGGUGAUAGCUCGUACCAGAUCAUGUCUUGUCGUGUGCUAAGGCGAGGCUCAUCAUCAUCCAUCCAUUCGCCGACCUCAACACCAAUUCGUGGCCCCAAAUCGCGUGCAUUAACCUCUAUUUAGCUCAUCGCACCGAGCUCCUGCAAAGGCAGAGAGGACAGGGAGAGUGAGCGAGAGACGAUGGCGUCGAUCACGGGGAUGUUGGCGUACGCCGUUCCCAUGUCGUGUACCAGCAGCAGCUGCAGACCCAGGGCUUCGUCUCCCGCGUCGCCGGGCGGCGGCGGGGGAUGGAUGGGAGUGGUGUGCUCGUCGCGGCCGCAGAAGAAGGCGACGGCGCACCACAUGAAGACGAGGCCUAAGAAGACGCAGCCUUGGGACGUCAGGCGAAAGGGCCCGACCGCGUACCCGCCUCUCCCCGUCCUCCCUCCGGAUUGGACCCUCGUCCCCGAGCAGGAGCAGGCGGCGGCGAAGGAGUGGCGCUAAAUCGGGAGCAAGAAAACUAGGGGAAAUUUCAACUUCCCGAAAGAUAUCAUCGUCUCCGGCACCAAACACCAAAAUCCGAGGACACGAGGGAGAAACCAAACAAGAAAACCUCGAAUGCAUCCAUCACCUUUAUCGGGCGGAAACGAGGCCGGAGAAGUCAUCUGUCGCUUGAAUCGGUGAUCAGCCAGCCACAGGGGUUACAAAAAGGCAUUCAGACAACAAAUUUAUUGGUCAUCACAAAGCCACUGCCAUAGUGUUGGGAAAUUGGGAUUACAUGGAUCAUCAUGUUACCAUUGAAUGGAACAACCAUCAGCCAUCACAUGAACAAGCAAAGAAGAAAUGGAGGGGUGGAAUGCGUUUGAUAAACAAACCAGCAUGCAGUGACAUCAGUGAUCAGCACUUUUUUUGUCUGCGUAAUGCAACCAUCCAGAUUCAUAAUCCGGUCAUCAGAGACUCUUUUAGAUUGUGAA